AUUGAACGCUGGCGGCAGGCUUAACACAUGCAAGUCGAGCGGAGCGAGGGUGCUUGCACCUUAGCUUAGCGGCGGACGGGUGAGUAAUGCUUAGGAAUCUGCCUAUUAGUGGGGGACAACAUUCCGAAAGGAAUGCUAAUACCGCAUACGCCCUACGGGGGAAAGCAGGGGAUCUUCGGACCUUGCGCUAAUAGAUGAGCCUAAGUCGGAUUAGCUAGUUGGUGGGGUAAAGGCCUACCAGGGCGACGAUCUGUAGCGGGUCUGAGAGGAUGAUCCGCCACACUGGGACUGAGACACGGCCCAGACUCCUACGGGAGGCAGCAGUGGGGAAUAUUGGACAAUGGGGGGAACCCUGAUCCAGCCAUGCCGCGUGUGUGAAGAAGGCCUUUUGGUUGUAAAGCACUUUAAGCGAGGAGGAGGCUACUAGUAUUAAUACUACUGGAUAGUGGACGUACUCGCAGAAUAAGCACCGGUUAACUCUGUGCCAGCCGCCGCAGUAAUAC
rnacentral:rRNA from 1 species